CGCCCCACACCACUGAGUUCUGGCCCAGGUCUGAAGGCUCUGGGUUCUGACCCAGGUCUGAAGGCUCUGGGUUCUGACCCAGGUCUGAACGCUCUGGGUUCUGGCCCAGGUCUGAAGGCUCUGGGUUCUGGCCCAGGUCUGAAGGCUCUGGGUUCUGGCCCAGGUCUGAAGGCUCUGGGUUCUGGCCCAGGUCUGAAGGCUCUGGGUUCUGGCCCAGGUCUGAAGGCUCUGGGUUCUGACCCAGGUCUGAAAAGCUUCUAAAAAUUCAUCUGCAAAUGUGUUCUAAAUACCGCCAAACCUUUCAGCUCGCAGUGUCAUGUGGGUCUUCUCCUCAAUGCGUGGGUCUGUGCUAUCUAACUGCAAAGGGAGAAACAGAGGGGAAAUUAAAAUGUGUGAGGAGUUGUUUGUUUUGCUGUUUGGUGAUAGACAUGGUGCAGGGCUUUAGUCUGUGCUUUGGGUUUGGAUGUGUAAGGCACACAGCAUUUCUAUGGCAUCUGGCUUCAUUUAUUCUACAACUGUUGAGCUGCUGUGUAGAAAUAGGUCAUUUUAAAGGAUUUCAUGUUGAUGUUACUUAUUUGAGGCUGUAUUACCAGCACCAUUUCCAUUCUGGGAAAAUGUCAACCAUACUUUCUGCCAAAAUGAUUAAAUAACAAUUUUGCUUCUUCAUUUUGAAAACAGACAGAAGUA